rnacentral:rRNA from 1 species
UCAACCUACGGGGCGCAGCAGUAGGGAAUCUUCCACAAUGGGCGCAAGCCUGAUGGAGCAACACCGCGUGAGUGAAGAAGGGUUUCGGCUCGUAAAGCUCUGUUGUUGGAGAAGAACGUGCGUGAGAGUAACUGUUCACGCAGUGACGGUAUCCAACCAGAAAGUCACGGCUAACUACGUGCCAGCAGCCGCGGUAAUACGUAGGUGGCAAGCGUUAUCCGGAAUUACUGGGGGUAAAGGGUGAGUAGGCGG